rnacentral:rRNA from 1 species
AUACGAAAGGUGCAAGCGUUGUUCGGAUUUACUGGGCGUAAAGAGAGUGUAGGUUGUUUAUUAAGUCGGAUGUGAAAUCCCGGGGCUCAACCUCGGAACUGCAUUCGAUACUGGUAGACUAGAGUUCGGGAGGGGUAAGCGGAAUUCCGUGUGUAGCAGUGAGAUGCGUAGAUAUACGGAGGAACACCUGAGGCGAAGGCGGCUUACUGGACCGAUACUGACACUGAGACUCGAAAGCGUGGGUAGCAAACAGGAUUAGAAACCCUAGUAGUCC